ACCCAGGUGGCAUAGCUCAGUCAAUAGAGCACGAGACUCUUAAUCUCAGGGUUGUGAGUUUGAUCCCCAUGUUGGGCA